UAGGAGCUGACCUCAGAAAUAUGCUCGCAUCAUUUUGAAAACAUCUUCCAGCACCACAGAAACCGACUCAGAAUGAGAAAGGACACUGAGUGGACGAGGGCCAGGACUGGAUCUGGAGGCAGAAGUCCACAGUCAAGGUGUCAGGAGGGCCAACCUUCCUCCCAAAGGCUCCAGGGAGGAAUCCAGUAUUUUCUCCAGCUGCUGGUGGCCAUGGAACUCCGCUCUCUGCCUACAUCUCCACAGCCUUUUCUGAGUCUUUCCCUCUUCUGAUAUGGAGGGAGCGCCCAGCACAUUCCAGGGCCAGUCACGGGGAGCUGAAACCAUCCCAGCAGAUUCAGUGCCCACCCUCACAGAGCUGACCUUGCAGUGGGGGAGGCAGACCCAGCAAAACCAGAAACAC